GAUUCGCUAGCUCAGCUGGUAGAGCACAACACUUUUAAUGUUGGGGGCCUGGGUUCGAGCCCCAGGCGGAUCA
rnacentral:tRNA from 1 species